AUGUCAGAAUAUGCUUCAGGGGAGGGGCUCUUUGAAGAAGAAGAAGAAGCUGUAAUGAUGAUGAUGUCAGAGGAUGAUCCAGUGACCUACCAUGAGGCUGUAAAAAGUAAGAAAUGGAGAGAUGCAAUGGAGAAAGAAAUGGACUCCAUAGAAAGGAAUGACACAUGGAUUAUAUGUAAUUUGCCGAAAGGUGUCAAACCAAUCGGAGUCAAAUGGGUGUACACAUGA